GAUGAACGCUGGCGGCGUGCCUAAUACAUGCAAGUCGAGCGAACAGAUGAGGAGCUUGCUCCUCUGACGUUAGCGGCGGACGGGUGAGUAACACGUGGAUCACCUACCUAUAAGACUGGGAUAACUUCGGGAAACCGGAGCUAAUACCGGAUAAUAUAUUGAACCGCAUGGAUCAAUAGUGAAAGACGGUUUUGCUGUCACUUAUAGAUGGAUCCGCGCCGCAUUAGCUAGUUGGUAAGGUAACGGCUUACCAAGGCAACGAUGCGUAGCCGACCUGAGAGGGUGAUCGGCCACACUGGAACUGAGACACGGUCCAGACUCCUAAGGGAGGCAGCAGUAGGGAAUCUUCCGCAAUGGGCGAAAGCCUGACGGAGCAACGCCGCGUGAGUGAUGAAGGUCUUCGGAUCGUAAAACUCUGUUAUUAGGGAAGAACAAAUGUGUAAGUAAAUAUGCACGUCUUGACGGUACCUAAACAGAAAGCCACGGCUAACUACGUG
rnacentral:rRNA from 1 species